rnacentral:rRNA from 1 species
CAACUCGCCUGCAUGAAGUCGGAAUUGCUAGUAAUCGCAGAUCAGCAUGCUGCGGUGAAUACGUUCCCGGGCCUUGUACACACCGCCCGUCACACCAUGGGAGUCGGUAACACCCGAAGUCGGUAGCCUAACCGUAAGGAGGGCGCCGCCGAAGGUGGGAUUGAUGACUGGGGUGAAGUCGUAACAAGGUAAC